rnacentral:rRNA from 1 species
GAUGAACGCUGGCGGCGUGCUUAACACAUGCAAGUCGAACGGUAAGGCCCUUCGGGGUACACGAGUGGCGAACGGGUGAGUAACACGUGGGUGAUCUGCCCUGCACUUCGGGAUAAGCCUGGGAAACUGGGUCUAAUACCGGAUAGGACCACUGCCUGCAUGGGUGGUGGUGGAAAGCUUUUGCGGUGUGGGAUGGGCCCGCGGCCUAGCAGCUUGUUGGUGGGGUGAUGGCCUACCAAGGCGACGACGGGUAGCCGGCCUGAGAGGGUGACCGGCCACACUGGGACUGAGAUACGGCCCAGACUCCUACGGGAGGCGGCAGUGGGGAAUAUUGCACAAUGGGCGCAAGCCUGAUGCAGCGACGCCGCGUGGGGGAUGACGGCCUUCGGGUUGUAAACCUCUUUCAGCACCGACGAAGCGCAAGUGACGGUAGGUGCAGAAGAAGGACCGGCCAACUACGUGCCAGCCGCCGCAGUAA